rnacentral:rRNA from 1 species
UUGACGGGGCCCGCACAAGCGGUGGAGCAUGUGGUUUAAUUCGACGCUACGCGAAGAACCUUACCUGGGCUUGACAUGUAAGUGGUAAGAACCCGAAAGGGGGAUGGACUUGGGGAAACUCCUUGAGCUUACACAGGUGCUGCAUGGCUGUCGUCAGCUCGUGCCGUGAGAUGUUCGGUUAAGUCCGCUAACGAGCGCAACCCUCGCUGUGUGUUAUAUGUGUCACACGGGACUGCCGGUCUUAAGCCGGAGGAAGGUGGGGAUGAUGUCAAGUCAGCAUGGCCUUUAUAUCCUGGGCUACACACACGCUACAAUGGCCAACACAAUAGGUUGCUAAGCCGCGAGGUGGCGCCAAUCCAUAAAGUUGGUCUCAGUUCAGAUUGUAGGCUGCAACCCGCCUGCAUGAAGAUGGAGUUGCUAGUAACCGCAGGUCAGCUAUACUGCGGUGAAUACGUUCCCGGGGCUU